UACGUAGGGAGCAAGCGUUGUCCGGAAUCAUUGGGCGUAAAGCGCGCGUAGGCGGCCUCAUAAGUCCGCUGUGAAAGUCAAAGGCUCAACCUUUGAAAGCCGGUGGAUACUGUGGGGCUAGAGUACGGAAGAGGCGAGUGGAAUUCCUGGUGUAGCGGUGGAAUGCGCAGAUAUCAGGAGGAACACCAAUAGCGAAGGCAGCUCGCUGGGACGUUACUGACGCUGAGGAGCGAAAGCGUGGGGAGCGAACAGG
rnacentral:rRNA from 1 species